rnacentral:rRNA from 2 species
UUCGGCCGGAUUUUACACAAGUGUUGCAUGGCUGUCGUCAGCUCGUGUCGUGAGAUGUUGGGUUAAGUCCCGCAACGAGCGCAACCCUCAUCCUUAGUUGCCAUCAGGUAAUGCUGAGUACUUUAAGGAAACUGCCAGUGAUAAGCUGGAGGAAGGUGGGGAUGAUGUCAAGUCAUCAUGGCCUUUAUGGAGUGGGCUACACACGUGCUACAAUGGUGUCUACAAUGGGCUGCAAGGUGCGCAAGCCUAAGCUAAUCCCUA